AGGAAAAGAAAAAAAUUCACGGCUCCAAUCCCCAGGCUGCCUCUUCUUUUAUGCUCUCCUGCCCCCUUCUUCCUAUCUCGGCCUCGAAAAGUUCACCCCUUCAGUCGCCCCCAAAACUCCAGCUUCCACCUCGAGGAACGACGACGCUCUCACAUCUCGAUGCCGCUCUCCGCCUCUUCUCAGGCAGCAACUGGUCAGCAUCGCCUCAAUUCGGUACUAUGUGUUCGAAUCGCUGUGUUUGUUGAUGCAUUCGCUAGGGUUUUUGGAUUCAAACAGAGGAAAAUCCAGGUUGCCAAAUUUUUGGACAGACAAUGACUACAGAUCACCAUGAUGAAUUGAUAGAAGUUGGGAUUCUUCCUUCUCUGGGAGGAACUACAAUUCCCGUACAUUAUAUUCUGUGCUCCUCCAUCUUGAACUGCAGAUUACCCUGGUGAUGUCAGGAUAGUCGAGUUGUGCCAAUUGGUACAAGUCCUCGGACAGAUGUACUUCUAAAAGCAGAAAAUGCAACUCUGGAAGGUGGGGGAUGCAUUCUAAGGCUAGCAGGGCUUUAUAUAUCCUUACAUAAUGCUAUAGGCUAAGGUUCGUCAUAUCGGUGCAUACUGCCCUAUACCAUAUUGGUGCCAAACCAAUACUUGGUAUGGGAGGUGUGCUAAGUGCAGCAUAUUGAGCCGACUUGUACUGACAUUAUACCAACGUGGUACCGGUAAUGAUAUUGAAACUGGUAUUGCGAACCUUGGUUAUUGGCUAUAUUAUAAGGCAAGAAUGCAUGCAUGCGAACAUGAAAGCAAGCACACAUGCAAGCAAUCAAGAAAGCAAGCACCAUUUGACAUUAUUUUCCUAGCCAAUGGCACAAAAAAGAUAGAGGUGCUCAUGUUUAUUGGUUAAAGAAAGGAUCCAUCCGUUGAUGCUCGUCCAGAUCAUUUACUAAAUCUUAUUCA